rnacentral:rRNA from 1 species
CUAUGCGCCUUGCCAGCCCCGCUCAGAAACUUAAAGGAAUUGACGGGGGCCCGCACAAGCGGUGGAGUAUGUGGUUUAAUUCGAUGAUACGCGAGGAACCUUACCUGGGCUUAAAUGGGGAGUGACAGCUGUCGAAAGAUGGUUUUCUUCGGACACUCUUCAAGGUGCUGCAUGGUUGUCGUCAGCUCGUGCCGUGAGGUGUCGGGUUAAGUCCCAUAACGAGCGCAACCCUUACCGUUAGUUACCAUCAGGUUAAGCUGGGGACUCUAGCGGGACUGCCACCGUAAGGUGAGAGGAAGGUGGGGAUGACGUCAAAUCAGCACGGCCCUUAUGUCCAGGGCUACACACGUGUUACAAUGGCCGGUACAAAGGGCAGCUACUUCGCGAGAAGAUGCUAAUCUCGAAAGCCGGUCUCAGUUCGGAUCGAAGUCUGCAACCCGACUUCGUGAAGCUGGAUUCGCUAGUAAUCGCGCAUCAGCCAUGGCGCGGUGAAUACGUUCCCGGGCCUU